rnacentral:rRNA from 1 species
GACGAACGCUGGCGGCGUGCUUAACACAUGCAAGUCGAACGGAAAGGCCCUGCUUUUGUGGGGUUCUCGAGUGGCGAACGGGUGAGUAACACGUGAGUAACCUGCCCUUGACUUUGGGAUAACUUCAGGAAACUGGGGCUAAUACCGGAUAGGAGCUCCUGCUGCAUGGUGGGGGUUGGAAAGUUUCGGCGGUUGUGGAUGGACUCGCGGCUUAUCAGCUUGUUGGUGGGGUAGUGGCUUACCAAGGCUUUGACGGGUAGCCUGCCUGAGAGGGUGAACGGCCACAUUGGGACUGAGAUACGGACCAGACUCCAACGGGAGGCAGUAGUGGGGAGUAUUGCACAAUGGGCGGAAGCCUGAUACAGCAACGCCGCGUGCGGGAUGACGGCCUUCGGGUUGUAAACCGCUUUCGCCUGUGACGAAGCGUGAGUGACGGUAAUGGGUAAAGAAGCACCGGCUAACUACGUG